UGCGUAGGCGGCCUAGUAAGUCAGAGGUGAAAGCCCACAGCUUAACUGUGGAAUUGCCCUUGAUACUGCUAAGCUUGAAUUAGGUUGAGGUUGGCGGAAUGUGACAUGUAGCGGUGAAAUGCAUAGAUAUGUCAUAGAACACCAAUUGCGAAGGCAGCUGGCUAGACCUUAAUUGACGCUGAGGCACGAAAGCGUGGGGAGCGAACAGGAUUAGAUACCCUGGUAGUCC
rnacentral:rRNA from 1 species